GUACACGCUGUGACUAGCAUAUCAAUAAGCGGAGGAAAAGAAACUAACAAGGAUUCCCCUAGUAACGGCGAGUGAAGCGGGAAGAGCUCAAAUUUGAAAUCUUAAAGGGUUUCCCUUUACGAAUUGUAGUUUAAAGAAGUGUUUUCUGUUGAGGUUUUGGUAAAAGUUCUUUGGAAUAGGACAUCAUAGAGGGUGAGAAUCCCGUAUUUGACCUUUACUUUCAACUUUGUGAUACACUUUCAAAGAGUCGGAUUGUUUGGGAAUGCAGUCCAAAAUGGGUGGUAAAUUUCAUCUAAAGCUAAAUAUUGGCUAGAGACCGAUAGCGAACAAGUACCGUGAGGGAAAGAUGAAAAGAACUUUGAAAGAGAGUUAAACAGUACGUGAAAUUGUCAAAAGGGAAGCGUUUGACACCAGUGUUGUUUUUCUGAAAAUCAAUUAAAGAACUGUUUAUGCUAAGUUGUUUAGACUUUAUCAGCUAUCUGUUUAGUUUUGAGCUUUUCUUUAAUGCACUUUUCAGUUAACAAGUCAACAUCAAUUUCUUUUGCUGUAAAAAAGCUUGAGGAAGGUGGCUUGAGAUUCGUCUUAAGUGUUUAUAGCCUCUUGCCUAUGCAGUCGGAGAGAUUGAGGUCUGCAGCGUAGAUCCUUCGGGGCUAAAUGCAUUUGUGCUAAGUUAUAGCAUUUUAUAGACAACUUGUUGACUAUGAUUUGUCUUGUAGCUUACUCGCUUAUGUUAUUUUACCUACGCUUAGGAUGUUGAAGAUGUAGCACAUCA
rnacentral:rRNA from 1 species